rnacentral:rRNA from 1 species
ACGGGUGAGUAACACGUAAGGAACCUGCCUCAAGGAUUGGGAUAACUCCGAGAAAUCGGAGCUAAUACCGGAUAGUUCAACGGACCGCAUGGUCCGCUGAUGAAAGGCGCUCCGGCGUCACCUUGAGAUGGCCUUGCGGUGCAUUAGCUAGUUGGUGGGGUAACGGCCCACCAAGGCGACGAUGCAUAGCCGACCUGAGAGGGUGAUCGGCCACACUGGGACUGAGACACGGCCCAGACUCCUACGGGAGGCAGCAGUAGGGAAUCUUCCACAAUGGACGAAAGUCUGAUGGAGCAACGCCGCGUGAGUGAUGAAGGUUUUCGGAUCGUAAAACUCUGUUGUAAGGGAAGAACACGUACGAGAGGGAAUGCUCGUACCUUGACGGUACCUUACGAGAAAGCCACGGCUAACUACGUGCCAGCAGCCGCGGUAAUACGUAGGUGGCAAGCGUUGCCCGGAAUUAUUGGGCGUAAAGCGCGCGCAGGCGGCCUUUUAAGUCUGAUGUGAAAGCCCCCGGCUCAACCGGGGAGGGCCAUUGGAAACUGGAAGGCUUGAGUACAGAAGAGA